AGGGCCCGGGAGGGGCCUGGUCGCGCUUUUCUAACCCUAAAGCCGCAGGUUGUAGGCGCCGAGCUUUCGUGUCCCCGCGCGCUGUUUUUCUGGCUGGCUUUCAGCGGGCGGAAAAGCCUUGGCCUACAGCCGUCCACCUUCCAGUCCGUAGCCAAAUAAAAAAAUGCCAGCUUCCGGCCGGUCCACCCCUCCCGGGGUCCUGCGGGCCCGGCCGCCGGCCCGGUCCCCGCGCCUCGCCCUAGGCCGCGGUCGGCCCGGGGCCUCUUCGGAGGUGCCCAUUGCCGCCGCGAAGAGUUCGUCUCUGUCAGCCGCGGGGGUCCGCGCGGGCCGGGCCGCGGUCGGCCUCGCGUCCGCAGGGACAGUAACGGAGCCGUUCCCUUCGCUCGGUGCGCUUCCCGGAGCUGUGGGAUGAGCACCCGGGUCGGCUCCCACAAAC
ensembl:misc_RNA Telomerase-vert Vertebrate telomerase RNA